rnacentral:misc_RNA from 1 species
CGCACAUUGCGCCCGCCAGUAUUCUGACGGGCAUGCCUGUUUGAGCGUCAUUUCAACCCUCAAGCUCUGCUUGGUGUUGGGGAUCAGCUAGUUGAUAGCUGGCCCUGAAAUUUAGUGGCGGUCUCGCUGUAGCUUCCUCUGCGUAGUAGCAUACCUCGCUCUGGAAAACAGCGCGGCUCAGCCGUAAAACCCCCCACUUUCUGAAGGUUGACCUCAAAUCAGGUAGGAAUACCCGCUGAACUUAA